CUCCCACCAUGAAAUGACAGCUUGCUCCAGCCCUCUUGGAACAGAAGCCCUUGAGGCUGGCACCAAGGGAGCUUGAUGAGUGAAUCCUCUGUUUGCUUGGGCUUUGGAGAUUCAACAAGCACCGUGUGCAGUUAGCACAGAGCAGGAUUCCCCCAUCACUCGCUGUUCUGAUCCUGGCCCAGCCAUCAAGGACUGCUCUGCCUCUGUAUACACCACAUGGACGUGGACCAGGGAAGAGCAGCAGAGAUGCUUUGCAGCUGUCACUGGGAGACAAGAGGUGAUAUAUAGCAAAUAUCUGCAACUCCUGGGGUUCUGUUCCCAAAUAUCACAAAAAUAAGAGCCCUAGAUGAAAGCCAAAGAAAAUUAUGCAGAAAAUGAAGAAAUUUGAAGGGGAAGGAGGAGGGAAGUCAGUUGAACAUCACAGAAUCCAUGAAG